CCCGACGUCCGGUGCGCUAUCGACUGUGCCGCAAAAGCAUGCUAUGUGCUUCGAAAGGACAGUGUAGCUAACAAAUUGUCAGCCAACAUAAUGUGUAAGGUAAUUUAUUGGGAAAGUCAUUACUUUAUUACAUGGAGGAAGGAGCAAGCUACCCCUCGGUCUGUGACGCCUCAUCAUUCUGCUCCUGAGUGGCUCACUUGUGAGCAGUGCUGGCAGGAUAUGGCAGCAACUUCGGUUGUGGGUCAAGAGUUCUGCAUACAGUAUCACGUUUGUAUGAAUGUGUGAUUAUUCACAGGCAAGUUGUUAUAUGCUAUGGAGGUACAUUUGUGUAUUUUUGUCGAGAGCAAAACGUUUUUUAUUUUCAAUCAAAAAUAAUUGUUCUGAAAGCAACUUUUUUCUGACACAAAUGAAGUCAAAGUGGACACCUAUGAAGAUGGCAUCUCAGAGAGCGAGCAGACCAAGGGGUCGAAAAUGUAGAUAUAGCCAGAUGUUCACUGUCCGAGGAACAGGCUGUGGAAGCUUUUUUGCUGGCAAAAGUGUCCAUAACCAGAGGUAAUUAAACUGUUCUUUUUUCUUUUCUCCAUCUCUGCCUGUCUUGUUGUACAUGGAACCUGUCUCACAUGCAUUCAUUUAAAAAUCCUUAAGAUGUCAGCUGCUAAUUUUCAGAUUUACACCACAUAAACACAGCCAUUUUCACUGGACUAUCUGUUGCUGCCAAGUCAUGAUUUCCCUGAGGGUAAGCCUUGCAAUAACCAAGUGGUGAGACACAUAGCCUUCUAUAUUUAAAUGUUUCAGGUACACUCUGAUAGGUGUCUGCGUCACAUACUGUAUCUUCUAUUGACAUUAUCUUCUAUUGUUUGUCCUCAUGUGUCUGUUUUUCAGUAUAAAGUACUCUGGAGCCACCUAUUGUGGACACCAGGUAUGUUUUGAUGUGAGAGACGAAGCCAGUUCCGUCAUCGCCACCUCACCCGUCAUCUUAAGAUAACCUUCUGGGCCAACUGGGGACCCAAGGCUGGUUAGGAGACACCGCAAUUGUGAUGAACUGGUAGCACUGUAAUUAGGGUAGCACUGUAAAUCAUGAAUCAUAUGCUGUCUGCCGCUGUUCUUACCUCUUUCCCUUUCUAUCAUCUACACCUCUCUCCCCACCUCGUCUU